GAGGCGCCAGGCUUGGGGGGGGGGGGGCGGAGGGAGCAGGCUGGUGAAAUAGUGGACUCCGAGAAGGUGCGAUUCUGUGAUGCACAAACACUGUUGUUUACCUGCUUCCUGUUGAGUCUUCUCCAUUUCCCUGGCUUCAUCAGGCUCCACGGAGUAAAACUCCUCUCUCCCUUCCCCCGCCCACUUGAUCACAGGUCAACCCCACCCCAUCCCUGUUCUGUAACUUUUCCCUCCCCCACUCCUUUUGGGAGAAGGAAGGGAGCACAUGAUUACACAUUACUAACAUCAAAAUCUCAUUUAGUGGUCAGCAGGAGAGGGACAGUCUCUGAUGUCCUUAAGGCAACUUAUGGAACUGGGAUCUGCAGGGCUCAAAGAAAGGACAGGCCAGGGAUGGAGGAGCUGUCUGUGCUGAGGGUUCAUGCAUCCGGGUGCAAAGACACAAGGUCCUAGAACCCUUUACAAAGACCUCCUGUGUGGGAAAAUCCAUCAUCCUCUUCAUGCAAACACAACAAACAAAAACAAAACAAAACUACUAAUCAGGUUGUAUGAAGCCUUCUUGCCCUGUCACUUUUCUGGAUGAUGCUGAAAACAAGGUAAAACCCCUGCUGACCUUUCCCUUGUCACUGCACAUAACCACCCCAUCCUCUUGCACUAGACAAGGCAAUAUCACAAUUUUCACUUAUUAAAUGAAUAGACAGACACUGUCUAGCUGACAGCUGGAGUACUCCUACUGACGGAAACCACUGGCGAUUCUCAGCAAUCCCAGGCUACAUGAUCCCUGGUCCUGGAGGCCCAUGAGUCUCUGCCCUUGCCCCUGCCCCUGCUCACCGGACGAGAGGUUACGUCAUCCCCAAUCUAGAGAUGAAACAACAAAGGCCAGCUUAAGUGGAUGUGAUUCCAUGUUGUUAUAUCAUCUGAGAGCCUGAUAUUAUGAGCCACCAUUACCAAGCUGAGUUCACUCCAUCACAGGAGUGGGCGCCUCAGAGCUUAGGUACUAGCCCCAACUCUGACACCUGCUUUGUAUAGAAUAUUUAGGUCCAGGUAUCAAAAGACCUGACCUUAGCUUAGGAUCACAAUGUAGCAAUCAUGUUAAUUAUGUUAAUUAUAUCGCUUAAAAUCCUUCUGUGGCUCCCCAUUGCCCUUAUAAUAAAAUCAUUACCAUGAUAUUCA
rnacentral:lncRNA from 12 species